CCUACGGGCGACAGCAGUAGGGAAUAUUGCUCAAUGGGGGAAACCCUGAAGCAGCAACGCCGCGUGGAGGAUGAAGGUUUUCGGAUUGUAAACCCCUUUUGUUAGAGAAGAAAAUGACGGUAUCUAACGAAUAAGCACUGGCGAACACCGUGCCAGCAGCCGCGGUAAUACGGAGGGUGCAAGCGUUACUCGGAAUCACUGGGCGUAAAGAGCGCGUAGGCGGGAUUGCAAGUCAGAUGUGAAAUCCUAUGGCUUAACCAUAGAACUGCAUUUGAAACUGUUAAUCUAGAGUAUGUGAGAGGUAGGUGGAAUUCUUGGUGUAGGGGUGAAAUCCGUAGAGAUCAAGAGGAAUACUCAUUGCGAAGGCGACCUGCUAGAACAUAACUGACGCUGAUGCGCGAAAGCGUGGGUAGCAAACAGGAUUAGAUACCCUGGUAGUC
rnacentral:rRNA from 1 species